GGCUGGCCUCAGUCUCACAGAGCCCUGCCUCCUGAGUGCUGGCACUAAAGGUGUCUGCAGAGGCAGAGAAGCUAGAGGUCAUGAGACACCUGAUGUUAGCAUUGGGAGAAGAAGUCAGGUCUCCACAUGA